CUGCCCAAUCAAACCGUUCUCCGCUUGACGGGUUCAUUCCGCUUCGAAUUCCGCUUCGAAAAUUGCUUCGAAAUUUUCUAAACGGUUUGUCUGGUUGGGUUCCGCUUCGAUUCCGUUUGAGCAAUUUUUGCACAAGGGCGACACCUGCUGGUGUAUGGUGGAACCUCGAUGACAUUUCGCCACGUUUCGCCGAAGCGGUUUUGUUGUUGUUUUGACAAUGUGUGGAGUCAAACGUCACAGUGUUGAGAAAAAGGAAUGCCAAAACUUGUUCAUUCCUGUUUGCUUCAAUACGUGCCACGUUUUCAGGAAAAAAAACUCAGAUUAUUUGAAGAAUAAUUAAACUGUUUUCCCCGCCGUGUUAACUAACCGAAGUGCUUCAGGUUCCGUUUUUUUCGAAGAAUCGACGAUCCAAGAACCAGAAACAGAGACGGAAACUGCACGGAAGUGGAAUGGCGAUGGACAGAGGCUCGAACAGUGAUCAAGCGUUUGCGAUCACACCCGAAAAACGAACUCAAUCACAAACGAUGUUCCCAUAGCGGAGGCAACUAGCAACAAAAUGCCGCUUCGCCGACCAAUGCCUCUACGACCGCUUGCUGGCUGCUACGGCUGGAGUUUUCUAUGGUGGUCUUAGCUCUUCCACAGCAUCAUCCGGUACGACCGUGCCGCGUCGUCUUGGUUCAAAGUGAGCCACCAACAUCUGCAUGUUGUGCAACCUGGCCAAAGAGGACCACGUCCGCCAGUUUGUGGUUAAGCGCCUGCUGCCGGAGAAGAACAUCAAGAAGACCUUGUCCAAGGCGCCCAAGAUCGGAGGAGGACAAGGCCGUAUUCAAGGAUGCCAAGAAGGUCGCAUAGGAGGCCAAGAAAGUGACCGAAGCCACCAAGAAGCGCGACGAGGCCAAGACUGCCAAGAAGUCCGACGACAAAAAGACCGACGCUGCCAAGCCCAAGACCGAUGCCGGCAAGAACCCCUUCGUUUGACCAUAGUCACCGGGAGGAGGAGGAACCGCACAGCGCCAGUAUAGCGAAUAAUUCUGUGGACAAAAAGGAAGCUGCGGCGUUCAUCUCUCAGAAUCGGUGGAAACCAGUUCCAACACUUUGGAAUCAUGGAAGGACGAUUCGCCGGCGACUGUCACGUACCACCGCCAGCAAGUGACAUCACGCAGGAUACGAUCUCCAAGGAUAUGCUGUAAAAGUUAUGCCGUUUGGACUUUUUUUCGUUCGGGCUGCCGUGGACAAGACCAGCCGCCGUUUCACACUUGUGAGCAACGGACAGUACAGAGACGAUAUCCAGCCAAUCAAAGGCGCCGCUGUCCACGGUAAAACCCACUGUCAGAGAGGCCAGGGCAACGCUCCCGAUAGAACACGUCGUACACGCGCACACCGGAGGCGUAACACGAAACCACCAAUGAUGUGGUUGUACGUGGUCCGGAUCAGCAAGACAACCUUCGUUAGCUACGCCACGUCAACGAUCCGUUUCAGACACCGUCGGUAAGCAGCAAGCGGGACGGCGUGGACCAGAUCGGACGAACGGCGGAACUUCAACGUGGCCAACAGAUUUCGUCGGUUCGGUUCCUCCGAGGUGCGGUCUCGACACAAUUGAAUGUAAUAUAAACUGUAUUGUGAAAGUUAAAACAAAAUAUUAUUAAAAACCUGGGGAUUUGCGGUGGGGAGUGUUUUAUUUAUGAUAAUUUUUUGAAUGUUAAUAAAAUUUCUUGAAAAAAGCAAAAAAGUUCAAUUAGUUGUUUAAUUCUAGUCUCACUAAACUAAAAAUAAAAACUAGACAAAAAAAAAUAAGAAGAAGAAGCAGCUGUCAAAACCAACCCGUCAUUCCGUUUCGAUUCCGUUUGAAUUCCGCUUGAACCGAUUUGCGGCGAAAACUCAAACGGAACCGGUUGUUGCGUUUGAAACGGAAUUCGUUUUAGAAUCUAAAACGAACACUGUUUAGAAUUCGAAUCGAACUUUUUUCGCUCAAGCGGAAUUCUAAACGGAAUUCAAACGGAACGCGCUGAGUGGGCAAGAGAGUAAGCUACACACAAAGAAAAAAUACUCUAAAUUUAAAAAGAUCGUUCGUUGGAUUAAAAGUUCGCGUUGGUGAAUAUUCGUAGAAAGUUCAAACUUUUCAAUUUAAAAGUUGGAAAGUUUUUGAUACUACCAUGCAUUUCUGGAACAAAAUCGUUGUAUCGGU